GACGAACGCUGGCGGCGUGCUUAACACAUGCAAGUCGAACGGUAAGGCCCUUCGGGGUACACGAGUGGCGAACGGGUGAGUAACACGUGGGUGAUCUGCCCUGCACUUCGGGAUAAGCCUGGGAAACUGGGUCUAAUACCGGAUAGGACCCUGGGAUGCAUUUCCUGGGGUGGAAAGCUUUUGUGGUGUGGGAUGGGCCCGCGGCCUAUCAGCUUGUUGGUGGGGUGAUGGCCUACCAAGGCGACGACGGGUAGCCGGCCUGAGAGGGUGACCGGCCACACUGGGACUGAGAUACGGCCCAGACUCCUACGGGAGGCAGCAGUGGGGAAUAUUGCACAAUGGGCGCAAGCCUGAUGCAGCGACGCCGCGUGAGGGAUGACGGCCUUCGGGUUGUAAACCUCUUUCAGCACCGACGAAGCGCAAGUGACGGUAGGCGCAGAAGAAGGACCGGCCAACUACGUGCCAGCCGCCGCCGUAAGAC
rnacentral:rRNA from 1 species